rnacentral:rRNA from 1 species
AGAGUUUGAUCCUGGCUCAGGACGAACGCUGGCGGCGUGCUUAACACAUGCAAGUCGAACGAUGAAGGAGGAGCUUGCUCCUCUGGAUUAGUGGCGAACGGGUGAGUAAUACGUGAGCAAUGUGCCCUUGACUCUGGGAUAAGCGCUGGAAAUGGCGUCUAAUACCGGAUACGACCCUCGGAGGCAUCUCCUGAUGGUGGAAAGAACUUCGGUCAAGGAUCAGCUCACGGCCUAUCAGCUAGUUGGUGAGGUAACGGCUCACCAAGGCGACGACGGGUAGCCGGCCUGAGAGGGUGACCGGCCACACUGGGACUGAGACACGGCCCAGACUCCUACGGGAGGCAGCAGUGGGGAAUAUUGCACAAUGGGCGCAAGCCUGAUGCAGCAACGCCGCGUGAGGGACGAAGGCCUUCGGGUUGUAAACCUCUUUUAGCAGGGAAGAAGCGAAAGUGACGGUACCUGCAGAAAAAGCACCGGCUAACUACGUGCCAGCAGCCGCGGUAAUACGUAGGGUGCAAGCGUUGUCCGGAAUUAUUGGGCGUAAAGAGCUCGUAGGCGGUUUGUCGCGUCUGCUGUGAAAACCCGAGGCUCAACCUCGGGCUUGCAGUGGGUACGGGCAGACUAGAGUGCGGUAGGGGAGAUUGGAAUUCCUGGUGUAGCGGUGGAAUGCGCAGAUAUCAGGAGGAGCACCGAUGGCGAAGGCAGAUCUCUGGGCCGUAACUGACGCUGAGGAGCGAAAGCAUGGGGAGCAAACAGGCUUAGAUACCCUGGUAGUCC